CCGUCUCUACUAAAAAUACAAAAAAUUAGCCAGGUGUGGUGGCAGGCGCCUGUAGUCCCAGCUACUAGGGAGGCAGAGGCAGGAGAAUGGUGUGAACCCAGGAGGCAGAGCUUGCAGUGAGCUGAGAUCGCGCCACUGCACUCCAGCCUGGGGGACAGAGCGAGACUCCGUCUCAAAAAAAAAAAGUUGAUGUAUGGAGCUGCAGCGCCUUUUUCCCUUGCCCUCCUCAUAACUACUUUCUCUUCCCUUGCAGACCCAUGGGGAAAUGAGAAAGAACCACCGGCUGGUAAGUUGGCAUUGGGAUUUAUGGAAUGAUAAUCUGAUGGAGGAAGUGUGACUUUAACCAACCACCUCCCUCUCUUCUCGGGCAGAAAAUUGGCUUCUUCAACCAGCAGUAUGCAGAGCAGCUGCGCAUGGAGGAGACGCCCACUGAGUACCUGCAGCGGGGCUUCAACCUGCCCUACCAGGAUGCCCGCAAGUGCCUGGGCCGCUUCGGCCUGGAGAGUCACGCCCACACCAUCCAGAUCUGCAAACUCUCUGGUGGUCAGAAGGCGCGAGUUGUGUUUGCUGAGCUGGCCUGUCGGGAACCCGAUGUCCUCAUCUUGGACGAGCCAACCAAUAACCUGGACAUAGAAUCUAUUGAUGCUCUGGGGGAGGCCAUCAAUGAAUACAAGGGUGCUGUGAUCGUUGUCAGCCAUGAUGCCCGACUCAUCACAGAAACCAAUUGCCAGCUGUGGGUGGUGGAGGAGCAGAGUGUUAGCCAAAUCGAUGGUGACUUCGAAGACUACAAGCGGGAGGUGUUGGAGGCCCUGGGUGAAGUCAUGGUCAGCCGGCCCCGAGAGUGAGCUUUCCUUCCCAGAAGUCUCCCGAGAGACAUACUUGUGUGG
rnacentral:sRNA from 1 species